GGACCCCGCGCGCCUCGCCUUCUCCCUCUGGUUGGCGAGCGCCUUUCUGCGCCUUCAGGCAUUUUUGCUGAGGCUUUUGUCUGCGCAUGUGCGGCGUUCCUUCACCGGGAUCUUCAUUGUCCCAUGUUGGGCGCCAGGAAUGCUGGGGUGAUCAGACCCAGCACCAGGCCAUGGGGGCUACAAAGUCUGGCAGAGUCAAAGGAAUGAGAAAAGACAAGUUAAAAGUGCAUAAGGUGGCAUAAAAUGACACUCCAAGAGUCUUUCACCAAACAGGUAGUUGUUCAUUGUUUCAGCAACUAUCUUGGCAACAUCCUCAGACUCAAACUCCACAAAUGCAUAGCCUUUGCCAUUUCCAGUCAUUUUACUUCUGGACAGUCUGAACUGUGUCACAGUGCCAAACUGGGAGAAAUAUGAAAAGAUCUGGGUUUCGUUAAG
rnacentral:lncRNA from 1 species